rnacentral:rRNA from 1 species
UACGGGGGGGGCAAGCGUUGUUCGGAAUUACUGGGCGUAAAGGGCUCGUAGGCGGCCAACUAAGUCAGACGUGAAAUCCCUCGGCUUAACCGGGGAACUGCGUCUGAUACUGGAUGGCUUGAAUCCGGGAGAGGGAUGCGGAAUUCCAGGUGUAGCGGUGAAAUUCGUAGAUAUCGGGAGGAACACCAGUGGCGAAGGCGGCGACCUGGGCCAAUAUUGACGCUGAGGUGCGAAAGCGUGGGGAGCAAACAGG